UGGGGAAUUUUGGACAAUGGGCGAAAGCCUGAUCCAGCAAUGCCGCGUGUGUGAAGAAGGCCUUCGGGUUGUAAAGCACUUUUGUCCGGAAAGAAAUCCUUGGCUCUAAUACAGUCGGGGGAUGACGGUACCGGAAGAAUAAGCACCGGCUAACUACGUGCCAGCAGCCGCGGUAAUACGUAGGGUGCAAGCGUUAAUCGGAAUUACUGGGCGUAAAGCGUGCGCAGGCGGUUUGCUAAGACCGAUGUGAAAUCCCCGGGCUCAACCUGGGAACUGCAUUGGUGACUGGCAGGCUAGAGUAUGGCAGAGGGGGGUAGAAUUCCACGUGUAGCAGUGAAAUGCGUAGAGAUGUGGAGGAAUACCGAUGGCGAAGGCAGCCCCCUGGGCCAAUACUGACGCUCAUGCACGAAAGCGUGGGGAGCAAACAGGAUUAGAUACCCCUGGUAGUCCACGCCCUAAACGAUGUCAACUAGUUGUUGGGGAUUCAUUUCCUAGUAACGUAGCUAACGCGUGAAGUUGACCGCCUGGGGAGUACGGUCGCAAGAUUAAAACUUAAAUGAAUUGACGGGGUCAUAGCUGUUUCCU
rnacentral:rRNA from 1 species